rnacentral:rRNA from 1 species
AACGAACGCUGGCGGCAGGCUUAACACAUGCAAGUCGAACGCACCGCAAGGUGAGUGGCAGACGGGUGAGUAACGCGUGGGAACGUGCCCUUCAGUUCGGGAUAACCCAGGGAAACUUGGGCUAAUACCGGAUACGUGCGAGAGCAGAAAGAUUUAUCGCUGAAGGAUCGGCCCGCGUCUGAUUAGCUAGUUGGUGGGGU